rnacentral:sRNA from 1 species
UUGCGCGAGGCCCACGACGCCUUCCGCUCCUCCCUCAGCUCUGCCCAGGCUGACUUCAACCAGCUGGCCGAGCUGGACCGCCAGAUCAAGAGCUUCCGCGUAGCCUCCAACCCCUACACCUGGUUUACCAUGGAGGCCCUGGAGGAGACCUGGAGGAACCUACAGAAAAUCAUCAAGACAGGGUGUUGCUAUGUUGCCCAGGCUGGUCUUCAACUCCUGGCCUCAAGCAAUCCUCCUGCCCAGGCCUCCCAAAGUGGUGGGAUUACAGGUGUGAGCCACUGUACCCAGCCAGAAGUUUCCAUUUCUGACAGUCCAGCAACUCCCUGCUUGACUGACCAGUCGCUUCCCUCCAGGAGAGGGAGCUGGAGCUGCAGAAGGAACAGCGGCGGCAGGAGGAGAACGACAAGCUGCGCCAGGAGUUUGCCCAGCACGCCAACGCCUUCCACCAGUGGAUCCAAGAGACCAGGUGCCAGCCCGCUGGGGCCGGGGAGCAGCAGCAUGUCCCUGCUGUACUUAAGCCCUGGGGAGCUUCCAGCCCCAAGGAGGUGGUGGUGCUUUGUGUAAAACCAGAGGCAGCCUGGGAAUAAAGCUGGGCUGGCAACGCCUGGUCGGGCUCUGGAGCCGGGAGUGGGGGCAUAGGUGGAGCAGCCUCUCAGUGCUGCAUGUCCCAGACAUCAAGUUGUUAGAGAUCCCGGAUUGAGUGGGACCAUGCAAGGCGCGUGGUCAGCCCCAGCCGUGACUUGGUGACAGACGAUGCAGGGUCUAUGCAUUGGGUACUGAUGUUCUUGCUUUUGUUUUCCUUUCUUUCUUGUGUCUUCUCUCUGUCCCCCCCGAUUGCUGCUGUUGUCCGGACACCACCUUGUCUCCCGGCUGCUUGGAUCUGCUCUCCACAGGACAUACCUCCUCGAUGGGUUAAUAUUGUUUUCUUCCUUCUCUGGGCUUGUCGUGUGGGGGUCUCGUGCGCUUGCCCCUCGUGGCCUGGCUUGUGGAGGAU